UUUCUCAAAGAAAAAAUUGUGAACAGGCUGUCAGACGCGUUUACAUUUUUGGAAUAUUUAUAAUUUUAUAAGUGAUCCUAUUAAUCUAAACAAUAAUGAGCAACGGCGGCAGUGCUGGGGGGCUGGGCGGCACCCGUCCUCCACCACGCAUCGAUGGCAUGGUGUCACUGAAGGUCGACAAUCUCACAUAUCGCACGACUCCAGAGGACUUGCGUCGCGUCUUUGAGCGUUGCGGAGAAGUCGGUGAUAUUUACAUACCGCGCGACCGCUACACACGUGAGAGCCGAGGCUUUGCUUUCGUGCGGUUCUAUGACAAACGUGAUGCUGAGGACGCACUGGAGGCAAUGGAUGGUCGCAUGUUAGAUGGCAGGGAGCUCCGUGUCCAGAUGGCUCGUUAUGGCCGUCCCUCGUCGCCCACUCGUAGCAACGGUCGUCGCGGCGGAGGGUCUGGUGGUGGUGGCGGAGGAGGUGGUGCUGGCGGUGGAGGUGGUGGUGGAGGCGGUCGUCGUCGCUCGCGUUCCCGUUCACCUAUACGCCGCCGUUCGCGUAGUCCACGUCGUCGCUCUUACUCGCCGCGGUCGCGCUCUCAGUCGGCGGCCAGCCAUUCGCCUGAGCGUCGCACCAAGUUCUCGCGCAGUCCAGUGCGCGGCGAAAGUCGUAAUGGGAUCGGAGCAUCCGCCUUAGCUGUUGGAGCCUCCAGAAGUCGUAGUCGCUCUUAAUUAUCCACGUUCCAAUUGGUGCGAGUUUUUUACUCGCUCAAAAGACAGAGAUCCCGAUCAUGGAUCUUGCUCUACAUCCUGUCAUGCUGUACCAGAACAGCAGGCAAAUUGGUGUGUGGCAGUGUUGCGGUUGAAAGAUAAUGUUAUGGUUAUUGCGAGGGAGGAGAGGAGAGAUCAGAUCAGAUCAGCAGAGAGGCAUCAGAGCAUCUUCUUCUUCCCCCGUCCAGCGCUAGCAGAGACAACACGACACGAGAGCGGACAUCGCGUAGCUGUUGCUGUUGCUGCUGCCGUUGCCGUUGGCGUUUCCUGUCAGCCGCUGUCGCCGCCCCGCCUCCGCUGCUGCUACCGCUGUUGCUGUUGCUGCUGCUGCACUCGAGAUCCAGAGCAGAGUGGGAGAAAAAGGGAUAUAUAGACUAUUUCUUUGGCUGUUUGCCGUUUCCCGGUUCCGGUUUCCUGUUACUUCACUUCUCUCGUCCCGUCGUUUGUUGCUGGUUGCUGGUUGGCGUUGUUGGUGUUUUCCUGUCUGGUGUUGCCGCUUGGCGUUUGGUGGGCGUCCAUUUUAAGUUUAGGCGAAAACAUUUCCAGCAAAACUACCACGGUAUCGCAAUGGACUCUGCAAAUACAGGAAUCCCUAAACCACCUGUGGCCUGGACUUCUCGGAUCUCGUAGAUCAGCGCGGUAAGUGCCUAACAUAACGAAAACUAAUAUUUAAACUUGCAGCUU